rnacentral:rRNA from 1 species
UUGAUCCUGGCUCAGAAUCAACGCUGGCGGCGUGCCUCAGACAUGCAAGUCGAACGAUUAAACUUUCCUUCGGGAAAGAUAUAAAGUGGCGCACGGGUGUGUAACACGUAAGUAAUCUACCUUUGAGUGGGGAAUAACAGUCGGAAACGUCUGCUAAUACCGCAUAAUGCAGCGGCAUCUAAUGAUGACAGUUGUUAAAUAUUUAUCGCUUGAAGAGGAGCUUGCGGCAGAUUAGCUAGUUGGUAAGGUUAUGGCUUACCAAGGCUACGAUCUGUAUCCGACCUGAGAGGGUGGUCGGAUACACUGACACUGAAUAACGGGUCAGACUCCUACGGGAGGCAGCAGUCGGUAAUUUUGGGCAAUGGGCGAAAGCCUGACCCAGCAACGCCGCGUGAAGGAUGAAGUCUUUCGGGAUGUAAACUUCGUAAGAAUAGGAAGAAUAAAUGACGUUACUAUUUGUAAGGUCCGGCUAACUACGUGCCAGCAGCCGCGGUAAUAAUGU